rfam:Firmicutes bacterium CAG:555 genomic scaffold, scf143
ACCUUAUCAAGAGUGGUGGAGGGAACGGCCCUGUGAAGCCCGGCAACCUGCGUAAAGCGUGGUGCCAAAUCCGGCGGUGAUUAUCGAGAGAUGAGGC